rnacentral:rRNA from 1 species
AUUGAACGCUGGCGGCAUGCUUUACACAUGUAAGUCGAACGGUAACAGGCCGCAAGGUGCUGACGAGUGGCGAACGGGUGAGUAAUGCAUCGGAACGUGCCCAGUCGUGGGGGAUAACUACUCGAAAGAGUAGCUAAUACCGCAUACGAUCUAUGGAUGAAAGCGGGGGACCGUAAGGCCUCGCGCGAUUGGAGCGGCCGAUGUCAGAUUAGGUAGUUGGUGGGGUAAAGGCUCACCAAGCCAACGAUCUGUAGCUGGUCUGAGAGGACAACCAGCCACACUGGGACUGAGACACGGCCCAGACUCCUACGGGAGGCAGCAGUGGGGAAUUUUGGACAAUGGGCGCAAGCCUGAUCCAGCAAUGCCGCGUGCAGGAAGAAGGCCUUCGGGUUGUAAACUGCUUUUGUACGGAACGAAACGGCUCUGGUUAAUACCCGGGGCUAAUGACGGUACCGUAAGAAUAAGCACCGGCUAACUACGUG